rnacentral:rRNA from 1 species
GACGAACGCUGGCGGCGUGCCUAAUACAUGCAAGUUGAGCGAUGAAGAUUGGUGCUUGCACCAAUUUGAAGAGCAGCGAACGGGUGAGUAACGCGUGGGGAAUCUGCCUUUGAGCGGGGGACAACAUUUGGAAACGAAUGCUAAUACCGCAUAAUAACUUUAAACAUAAGUUUUAAGUUUGAAAGAUGCAAUUGCAUCACUCAAAGAUGAUCCCGCGUUGUAUUAGCUAGUUGGUGAGGUAAAGGCUCACCAAGGCGAUGAUACAUAGCCGACCUGAGAGGGUGAUCGGCCACAUUGGGACUGAGACACGGCCCAAACUCCUACGGGAGGCAGCAGUAGGGAAUCUUCGGCAAUGGACGAAAGUCUGAACGAGCAACGCCGCGUGAGUGAAGAAGGUUGUCGGAUCGUAAAACUCUGUUGGUAGAGAAGAACGUUGGUGAGAGUGGAAAGCUCAUAAAGUGACGGUAACUACACAGAAAGGGACGGCUAACUACGUG